AGCACCACCAAGCCUCCCUGGAAGGGACCUUCUGCUCAGUUCUUGGACUGAGGGAUGGAGUAGGAUUUUACUUCACUUGUUUUCAGGGACUCUUAACUGGUGAAAAGAGUUGGGAUAUUUUAUCAUCUGGAGUUUCUCUGCCUCGCUGAUGAUCUAAGCUCGAACCUGCCAGUUUAUGGGAGAUGAUAGAAAACACCCUCUAACAUCUGAGUUGCAAAAAUAUCUGCCUCUAAGAACUCAGGAGGACCUACUUUGUGGGAGCAAAGGUAGUGAGUCAUACCUGCAAGCCUGGAAAUGAGAGUUCACUUGCGCCUCUUCAUCCAGUUGGGACGUUUCCUAGGCAACCAUUUAUGCAGCAAUUAAAAGAUGAGUUAAGAGGAGAAAAUGGAAAAAACAGAGGUACUUUAAUGGAACUGAAUAAACCACUGAACAGGCGUCUACGUAGGAGAAAGUUAAUGGCGCAGAAUGCUGCUGACCGCGUGGUUCUCGUCUUAAUACAUUUUCCAACCUUGAACCUGAGACUGCCAGAGGCUCAAGUCUCUGAAUGCUCGUCUGAGCCGUUAUCUGCUGGUGGCCUGGUUCCUGAGCUAACAAGUGGGUGUCCCAGGCGUGCGUGUGGUAAUAGCAGCAGUGGUGCCACGUGGCGCCCAGAGGUCGCCUUGGUCUGUCCUGGAGAUUCUUGGUCCUCGCUGAAGCUUCUGAGUUGAACUGUGAACUUGGGGCAUCCUGAGAAGCGCAGGCAUUUUGGAGUUCCACAGCAAACCUGGAUGUUAAGUGUCAACACAGCUUAUAAAGUGAAAGCAGAGACCUUGAGGAAGGGAAUUACCCUCAUCUCGUCCGGACCUGCUUACUGUGCUGGAAAACAAAUGGUUCCUAGCUGUUGUGACGUCAAGGCUGCCAUUCAAAGCAGAGAAAAAGGAAACCGUGGCCUCUCUUCGCAUCAGUAGCCUGGACAAGCCGUUGUUUCUCAGGCAUCCACAACGCUCUCUGUCUGGCAGAGCUGUGCAUUCCAUGCCUGGGUGACCUGGUUAAAUGGAGGAAACCAAAUGCUCUCCGUUGAAUGCUCUCCAAAACAAGCAUUCCACCCUGAGCUUCUGAAGCACAGGCUUCACUGCGUCCGAGGACUGUAAAUGGAACUGCAGCAUUGCUCUGCAUUAUCUGCUUGCAUGUUCAGCUUCUGUGUAGUCUUAAAAGAGAGCAUAUCAUUAACAAUGGCCUUCAUUAACAUACACUGCAACAACGACAUUAUGCUGCCUUUGGGGUCAGUGCUACAAAACCCUUCUUGGAAAACCAGUGCUGUGUUAAAAAUCUUUCGGAAUCACAGUCAGAAGUUCAAAACCGCGGAACUGCCACUGGUUCUUCCCAUCCCACUUCUGCUCACCCUGUUCCCCGAUUUCAGAUUUCUGAGUUCUAGAAAGCCUCUUGUAUUUACUUACAUAUUAAUUUCUCAUGGUGCAUUUUUGUGCUUGUAUAGCCUCUGCAUGUAUGUGAAAAAGAAUCUCUACUAUAAGGUAUAGAUCACAGGCUCUGGAUUUUUCCUUAUGAAGAGGAACACCUCUUGCUUUUCAGAGAGAAGGAGCUAUUUCAAAGUAUCACAAAACCGCUCUCUGUUUAGUAACAAGCCAAGAUCCCUACAGCAAACAACCAUCUUGCAAGGCCGAAAGCUCACUAAUAAUGUUCUGAUCGCUUACUUACAUGCCUCAGAAUUCACCGACUUAAGACUCAGUCUCCCGAGGGCGUGCCUUCUUGGGUUUCUCUGGCACCAGAGACAACGUUAUUUUAUUAGAUUCUUGGAGGCGGACAUGACAGUUACGAGAAAAAGCACAGCAAUCACAUUUUGUAUUCCAGCGUUGUCUUGGUUAAGUCAAUAAUAUGCUUUUGAGGUUUUAUGUUACAAAUCCCAUUAAAUCUUUCUCAAAACAACCCUUCUCUGAACGCUUGAUUGAAGGAUAUUUGCAGAAACCAAAACCAUUUAAUUUUAUACAGAGGUGUAUAUACACGUGUCAUGCGGGAUCUUGAUACACGUUGAGGCCUUUAUAACCUGAGUUAUUAUAAGACAAAAUUCUUCCAGAUUAUAAACUCUUGUCUUCUGGGGAAAAAAGUAGAGAUCUUCAGGUAACUAGAUAAAGAUAGACUAGGUGGAGUGAAUCUUGUAAAGUUAGGAUUUACACAGUUUACUAGACUGCGGUCUAGUUUUGCCUAGACAAUCAGACUUGCCCAGAGGCUAGCCUAAUGCCAUAUGAAUGCUGUAUCUAUGCCACCAUAGAUACAGUGGUGGGACCAGGGCAUGGAGCUGAUGAGCAGGUCUUCUUUAUGGGUGCUUUGGGCUGGGUAAGCCUGAGAAUCUUGAAAUGAGAGGAAACCUAGGACAUUACUUUCCAUUUGUGGGCUGGAGAGUUAGUUCUCUUAUUGUUCACUACUAUUUGCAUAUCAGUAAUUCUUUUAUUCUUCCUUUUUCUGUUAUUCCCAUUUCUAGAGGUCCUUGUUAUCUGAAGAUAACCGCUCUGAGAAAACUGUUACUUUUAGAGAAUUGACUUAAAACUGAAUCAGAUAUUUUAAACAGUAAAAUUUUUUAAAAGAUUUUAUUGGGAUUAAGUCUUGAAAAGUUAAAAAAAAGAUGAAUCAGUUUGUUUUACAUUAUAUAACAGAAAUUUGGGCUAUGAUGCAACAAUAUACUAUUUCUUAGACCAAAGAUUGUUCACUUCUGUGGCAGAAUCAUAAAGAAGGUGAUUUUUGUUAUAAGCAUUUAACUUCCUCAAGGACCUGUCUUAAUCUUUUGAUACACAAACCAUUCUCUUGAAGAGCCUACCUCUCCUAUAAUCAUCUCUGUUGACUUUUGCUUCCUCAGUUGUUAACUGUUCAAACUCCCUUUGAUCCUUAUUUGUCAGUGACUAUGUGUGACUCAGGCAGUUCCCCAGCAUCACUUUUAUCAGCUAUGAGUAAAACUGCAGUUUCUGUUACAAGUGAACUACAUUGUAUUUGCAUUUUUAGUCUGUAGUACUGAGCAGCCAAGAAAGUGAGCAGGAAUAGAUGCUGAUGUUAACGAGGACUAAACACUAAGUGAUCACUUUGUCAUUGUUUUUUAUAUUCUGAUGAUCGGUGCUUCCUUUUGCAUCCUGGUAACUACAGGGACUCAGAGAAUGAUCAUUCAAGUAGUUAGGGACCCCCCCCCCCUUCUCGUAUUAUGGUACAUUUAAAGCACUCAGUAUGGCUUAGUGGGCUUUAUAAUCAACCACAUGUAGAUUUGUAUGCCAUUCCUGGCACUUAAUAGAUUUUAUAACCUUGGGUGUGUUAUUCGCAGAACCUCAGAUUCUUGGUGUGUAAUGUAGAGUCAUAAAACCAACCUUGUGGAGUGGUCAUGGGGAUUACAGCCCACAUAUAUAAAAUUCCUGGGUAAUGCAUAGUGCAUGUAGCUCAAGAAAUGAUCCCUGUUUGUUAGGGUCACUAUUGCAGUUGUGCGGUGCCGUACAUGUUUUGAGACUUUCACAUUCAGUUCAGGCUGAAGAACUUAAACUUUAGCAAAGUCACUGAAGAUUUUUAAGGUGUGCAUUUACCUGAGGAAACUAAGUUUCAGAAGGUCAUAUUGGGUGACUGUGUAUGUCCCAGAUUAGAUCAUAUCAUCUGAUAGCCAUUUUCUUCAUGCUGUAGAUGAGAACACCAAGUUCCAAGGAAACCGCAUAACUUUCUCAGGACCACAUGGUUUGCAUCUGGCAGAGCCAAACCUAGAACCCAAUCUUCCUACUCUUUACUGUGUUUUUCUGCCAUGCAGUUGCUCGUUGGCAAGUGAACCAAUUAAAAAGGCUGUCAUAGUUGUCCAGGAACAAAGUGAUAAAGGUCCGACAUAUUUUUUAGAAUCGGGAAUGGGCGGGAGAGGACAAAGGCAGCAGUCACUGGAAACAAGUGCUGAUUAGACUUGGCGACCGAUUGGCUCAGCUCUGCUCCCUGAAGAAGGGUUAGGGUCCAAGUUCUCAAGCCUGGUCCUAUGGCCAUACAGUUAAUUAAGCUAAUAGACGUUGUUGGUUUUGUUGUUUCCUGAUGAGUUUGAAAGGACCACCCUGUCCAGAUGGAAGUAUGUAGGAUUGAAGGUAGGAGAAGACGCCUGUGUGAAGAAAUAACUUUGAGAUUCUGAUGCCAAAGAAGGAGCGUUGAAACCACUGUGCUAUAUAGAAGUAUACACACCUCUGUGUGCAUGCGCGUGCAUGUGUGUGUUAAACUGGAUUUUGUGACAUAUUCCCAAUUCAGGACUAAGCCACGUUAUAACUUACUGCUCAGUUAUAAUUACAAACUGUUAUACCUUCAUCAGAAAGAAGAGCUAUUCCCAUAGAUUCUUCUGUGUCUGUGUGUUUGUUUUGUUGGAUGGAUCCUGCUGUGGCAUGGAGAAACAGACUUUGCUGGGCCCUGUUUUGUAAACAAAUCUGCUCACACACACUUUCUUCUAUCAUUGUAUGUGUACACUGGCUCUGCUUUUCCCAUCAGACACACGGAAGCCUAGGAACUUAGAAGCUUGUUUUCUUUUAGAAAUGUGCAGCCAUCAAAGAAAAAUGUGGGCAUGCAUUUAAAAUGUGCACAUCUACCCUGUGUAAGUUUUUGACUCUUCACGAUUCUAACUCUGGGCCAUGAACUCCUCAAGAACAUCGCAGCCCUGAUACACAUACAGUACCCCUGGGAGGCAUCCUACAGCCACCUUAAAACUAUUGAUUGAGCUCAGUAAAUGUAGAGAAAGCUUUUUACCCUCCAAGUUCAUUCUGUGGGAUUGGUCAGCCAAGAUGAUAAAGUAUAAUACUAGUUUUUCCAAGAAGAGAUGAUUCGUCCCUUUCUUAGAUUGGAAUAUGAACUUAUCAUAAUACAUAUUUAUACAGUCACUUCCUACCUGUAGUUUUUUGCAUGUUUUAUUUAAUAUUCCAGCCAAGUUCAAGUUUUUAUGACAGGAAGUAUGUGAAUGGUUAUGACAAGAGUAAAUAACAUUUGAUUUUAUGAUUACAGGGAGUAACUUUUCAUGCCAAAUAAAUCUUUGGGGGGGAAAAUGCCCGCUUAUAAAUUUAACGUACAUAAAUUUCCCAGAAUCUUUGCUCUCUUAAGCGGAAAUAAAAGCAGAAUGUGAUCUUAUUUAUUUCUCUUCUUAACUUUUCUUGUCAACAGAUGUCUUUGUUUUAGGAUGAGGUAUUUUUGGGUAUUUCGUUGUGACCCAAUAUGACCAUUAAAAAACCAUUUUAAAAACUCUUAAGUGAAUAUAAUAAGGCCAAACGUUAUAGAAUAAAUAGCAUGAAAAGUUUGAAUACCCUAAGUAGGAAAUUACUUUUUCCUUGAAGAGUAAAUGACCAAAUUAUCAAUCACCAUCGAAGCCGAGGAGGCCCCAGCUUCCAAUUCCUCUGGUUGCCAUGUUCCAUAAGCACAUGGGAAAGAUAGUUUGUUUAACAUCAGGUCUGCAUAUGAGCAAGUUUACAGAGAAAAGAAAGAAUUGGAUAGAACUUAAGUUAUGUUCAUCAUAGGAGAACUUUAAAAGAGGCUUUGUGUUUCCCUGACUUAAAAAAGAAGAAGAAAAAACAGGAAGAAAAGAUUUUUUCCCCUCAUCUUUCUCUUUUCUUCUUAAAGCCUGAGGAGCUUGUAGUGAGAAGAAAAUGUCUGACACAUUUCUGAGGACUGAUGUUACACAUGCAUGCGUCACAUGAGUGAAUGAAUGCCUGGACAGAUCAAAAUAACACUCAAGAAGUGCUUCCCAGUUCCGGGCGGCUGUGAGGCAGUGGUGCAGCGCCUUGUGAUGGAGGGGCAAACCUUGCCUCUGUGCCGGGGAUCCUCACUUCACCACUCUGAUUGAAGGGAUCUCUAGAUCCCUUCUGCCUCCAAAAUUCAGUAUCACAAAUUUUGCAAAGUGGUAGUUUGCAAAUUAUACGAAGCUGUUCUCAGAGAACAAACUGAUGUGUUAGAGUUAGCAGUACUUAGUUGUCAUUAGUUUUCUUUCAGUUCUGCGGAGAAUAUCUUUGCAUGUGACAUGAGUAAAAAUCUGCCUCGAGUAGUAGUUUUCAGGGCGGCUUUACUUAGCACGCACCGCAGCCUGGCGUGGCGGGCGGACGUGCUGAUGGAAGGCUCCGAGCAGAGUGGUCAAGGUGAGCCUCCCUGGCUUUGAACCCUGACUCCACCACCUGCCGAUUGUGUGACCGUGGUCAAACCCUUAAAGCCCCUGAGGCUCAGUGUCCUUAUCUGUAGGAUGGGAAUAAUCAAAAGAACUAAGCUUGUAGGGUUGCUCUGAGGAUCGAAUGAGUAGAUCCGUGUAGGUGCCUAAAACGGCUCUUGUAGUCAGGUUGCUGUCACCAUGGGCAAACUGGCUGAAAGAGGCUGGGUCAUCUGGACCAGAGCAAAGCAUCACAGGGGGAAGAGGCAGAACUCGAAUGCGAGGCCUCCCGACUUCCCGUGUUGGGUCUGGUGCCCUUCCUGUGUGAGGCCACACCCCAACGUUUCUAUAAAAGGGCCACUAAAGAGUGCACUCCUUUCCGUUGUUUAAAAGGAAACUUUGAGUAAACGUUAGCUGUGAAGAACAUUUGUGACAGGGUUUUGUUUUGUUUGGGGGGCACGGGGGGACAAUGGGCCCAGAGGUCUGGAGAGCAAACACUGAUUCUGUAAACUUGGGCUUGCAGGAUGUCCGCAGCAUAGCAAAUUAGAGCAGGACCUGGAUAGUCCCUGUAGCUUAAUCACGUUCUGAAUACCCACCCUUAGAAAUAGUCCCCUCAGCCUUCCCCACUUACAGGAGUUCCUAGAGGGCAACAGCUUCUCGGCAGCGGCCACGUGGGUUGGGUUCAUAUUCUCCAUACUGUCCCCGCAUGUAUUUUUAUGAUCUUUAUUCUGUUUUGUUCUACUUUUCCUUUCUCUUUUUGAAACCUCUGCAUUGGCCACCCAGGACUUAAGAGGAACUUUCAUAAGGCACAGUCUGAAACAGGAACAAACUGCACAGAAGCUUUGAGAACUUCGAGCAUGUGUAUGAACAUGACACAGUGGGAGGGGAAAUUAGAUAUUCUAACGUUUGAGUAAGUGUCUGGCCUCUAAUCAUUCACCAAGCUCGGUAUCAAUAGGAGUUUUUUAAGCUGUAGAUAUUUAAAACUGCACUCUCUCUAGGGUUCCUGUUCUUUAGACAUCAUACAGAGAGGUCCUCUUUACAUUGAGCAAGUUCAUGGUGAGAUCUUGGGAGUGAGGACAGAGGGAUGACUGUUGUGUAGUAUUGUUGGUUUGAAUCAAAUCCUUAAGGACAUUUAUUGGUGCUGUUUUUUACUCAUCCUCAAUUUGAAGGUUAUAUUCACACCAUGAAUAUGGUUUCCAUACUCUUCUUUUUAAAAUAUCAGUUUUGGUAAAAUUAUAAAAACAUUUCACAUUCGUGAAAAUUUCCUUCCAGAGCAUAAAACACAGAUGGUUUUAUUAAAAUUUUUCACAUAUAUUCUUUAUGUUUAUCUUGAGUGUUCAAAAAUGAGAAAUACAGGAGCUGGGGUCGAAGGUGUCACCACAUUAGAAAUUAAGGGCUGAGCGGUGCCGUGUAACAAAUAACGUGAACACAUUGGAUCUGUUUGUUUUUAUUCUUCAGUCCCAUUAAGUGGAAGCUCGUGUUUUUCUCUUUCUGCCUACAUGAACUCCUCUGCCCCCAUACCCCACCAUUCCCACCCAAGAUAGAAGCACAUAAACAGCCUGAAAAUAAAGGACAGGUUUUUUUUUAAGCUCCUCAUUUAGCAAAAUGUCUACAAGUCUCUUCAGAAAAUGAGCUGUGUCACACUGAUGCUCUUUAAGAUGGGAUAAAAGCAAUUUUUCUUAGUUUGCCCAGUUAUCAAGAAAUUCUACUCCUCUUUAAGUGAUCAGGUUUUGUUAAAGCCAAGAGAAAUACAAAAGGUCACAUCUUAGCCCUUUGUGGUUGGUUUUCAAGGGGCGCUUUGGUGCGAAAAUCACGUGGUCACUGUUCAUGUGAGGGGGUGUUAGAAAUAGGUGUUUUUCUGCCCCCAUCACAGACAAAUCUGAAAAUGUUCCCUCUUCUCCCAAACCCCGGGGAUGGCACUCAGAGGCUGUGUCUUCAGUGUCUCAGCACCCAGUGGGGAAGAUGAUUUCCAUAUUUGAAAUUCAGGGACAAACGAAAAUAGCUCUUUUUCCUUGAAGGGUUAAUGUUCUAAACAGCUUCAGAUUGGUUCACUUGAAUCUUAAAAUUACUUUUCUGGUCACGCGCACUGAAGGUCUAAGCAUUUGUGAAAUGUCUUUUUUUUUUUUUUUUUUCCUUUCUCCUGAUGCUGUUCUCUCUUGGCUGUCUUAAUUACACAGGGGUUGAAAAACCAAAUUAAAAUUAGGCGUGGCUGGUAAACAGCGAUCACGUUGCAUGCUUUUAGCUUUGAAUGCUUGUUGGAGUUACUUCUCCUCCCUGUAUUGCUUUCCUCCCCGCUUUUUUUUUUUUUCCAAAGGAAAUAUCAUAAGCUCUUUUAGAAGUACUCACAGGAAGUGAGUAUCCAUAUGCUGGUUACUCGCCAGCAACUGAGCGUUGACAGGUGGAGAGUGCUGCUGUCCUCCUCCCAGAUUUAUUUGAACCUUUCUGCCAGAGCCCGGGAAUAUUCAGGGUGUACAGACCAGAGGGUUUUUGUGUACUGAGGGAGUUACAAGAGGAAAUUGGUCAUCGCGCGUCAUCUUGGUGGAUGGUGAUUCAGGGAGCCGUGACGGGGGUCAGCGAGGCACGUGGCUGCCGCCGUCUCUGAGGUUUCUGCUCACUUCUCAGAGGGCGGGCUGUCUUCUAAAAAUUAGUGCUCCCUCCACCGCCAACGACGAUUCUUUUGCAAUGAAUCACUUCCAGAAAUGAAUAGCCACAGUUUUUUGGAAUGAAGGUUGUGAAAUCCCUCGCUUAUAAUGGCAGGUUUUCAGUUGGUGGUUUUAUCAGAGAGAAUUUCUCAAGAUCAAAACGAAACUUCCUCUUUAAAAGGAAAGAAAGUACUCUCAAUACAGAAAGCAAAAGUAUUUCCAGUCUCCUCCUGACGCACUGUCACAGAAGAUCUCUGUACUUGUAUUUAGAGAUACACGUCCAUAUAUUUGCCUGAACGUGUGAGUCCUUGGAAUUACGGAUUCAUUGCCGGUAGCUGGUGGUCUCCUACGCAGAAGAUCGCUAACUACAAGAAAUGCUACGUGCGGACAAGUCUAGCCUGUGCUUGGGGAUCCUUUGUGUGGCUGUUCAGUGGUUCCAGUGCCUCUCUCAGAAGAUCCCUGAAGCCCGCUUCUCUGCCCCGGACCACGUCUUUACCUGUGUUCCUCUCUUUUCCUCAUCCGUUCAUCUGCUGACACCUGUGCAUUCUUAGGAGUCGUCUCAGGUAUCACCACCUCCAGGGAGCCCUCUGGAUUACAUUAGAUAAUGUGAUGUAGUAAGAGGGAGGAGGGGAGGGAGAAAACGUGAGCACACUGGGUUAUAACCAAGUGCUUUUCUUCCCCUCCCACAAGACAUAAGCUACCUGAGAGGGGAGACUUUUUUUCUCUGUGUCACAGUGUCUGGCAUAUCACUGUUGCUCACCACUAUAGAGGGAAUAAAUGGAGGCAGGAUAAAAGCAGGCGAAGACCCAGAUCACUGACUAAUUCCUCUUGGGCGUGACGGAGCUCGGGAAAGAACUAAGCUAAGCUCCAGGCCCGAGAGUAAAGGCACAGCCAGUCAGUGCGGGUGAAGAGAAGUCCAUCACCUCGCGGAGCAGGCCAGCUAACCUCUCCUUCCAGCCCGCCCUCCUGCUGCUCACUCAGAAUGCUUCUGUGGAAGAGUCCAGACUCCAUGGCAGGACCCACCCACCUAUACUGCACGCCUUUUUGAUAUGUGCCCAAAGUACCAUCCAGAGUCUAGGUCUCAAGAAUUAUUUGCUGAUGGACUUAAUUACUUAUUUGACAGGCGGCAAGAGCACAUCCUGAAGUGUCAAUUAAGACCUGUGUUAAAUCAAAUGUACUUCAUUCAAUUUAAAAAAAAAAAGAACAGGGGCUUCCCUGGUGGCGCAGUGGUUGAGAAUCUGCCUGCCAAUGCAGGGGAUAUG